GACGAACGCUGGCGGCGUGCUUAACACAUGCCAGUCGAACGGACAGGCCUGCUUUUUCUUGUGGUUUGCGUGUGCUCGAGUGGCGAACGGGCGAGUAACACGUGAGUGAUCUGCCCCCAACUUGGGUAUAAGCCCGGGAAACUGGGUCUAAUUCCCGAUAGGACUGCAUGGUUGUGUCUGUGGUGGCAAACUUUUUUCUAGUGGUUGGGGAUGAGCCCGCGGCGUAUCAGCUUGUUGGUGGGGUAAUGGCCUACCAAGGCGCGGACGGGUAGCCGGCCUGGGAGGGGGGACAGUGGCACUGAGACAGGGACAAGACCCAGACGGCAGGGAGAAGCAGCGAAGGGUAAGAAAGGGGAGUGAGCGGGAGGCUGAAGCGGCGAGGGAGCGAGGAAGGUGACCGGAUUGGAGUUGUAAGCUCCUUGCGAACAAGAAGAGGCCAACUGGUUGGAAGGGUGGUGACGGUAGUGGUAGAAAAAGCAACGGCUAACUACGUG
rnacentral:rRNA from 1 species